rnacentral:rRNA from 1 species
AAUCGAACCCGGAGAUAGCUGGUUCUCCUCGAAAUAGCUUUAGGGCUAGCCUCAUGGAUCAUUGGUGGGGGUAGAGCACUGAAUGUGCGCGGGGGCCACAAAGCCUACCAAACGCUAUCAAACUUCGAAUACCAUACAAUGCAGACCAUGGGAGUCAGUCCGCGAGAGAUAAGUUCCGCGGGCAAAAGGGGAACACCCCAGAUCAACCGCUAAGGUCCCCAAGUUCACGUUAAGUGGAGAAGGAUGUGGAAUUGCACAGACAACCAGGAUGUUGGCUCAGAAGCAGCCACACAUUUAAAGAGUGCGUAAUAGCUCACUGGUCGAGUGAUUGUGCGCCGAAGAUGUCCGGGGCUAAACGUGACACCGAAGCGAUGGGUGCAUCUGAAAGGAUGCGCGGUAGAGGAGCAAUGUGCAGAGGCAGAAGCCGUAUCGAGAGGCACGGUGGACACUGCACAAGAGAGAAUGCCGGUAUGAGUAGCGAGAGGCAUGCGAGAAACAUGCCCGUCGAAAGCCCAAGGUUUCCUGGGGAAGGUUCAUCCGCCCAGGGUAAGUCGGGGCCUAAGCCGAGGACGGAAGUCGUAGGCGAUGGACAGCAGGUGUAGAUUCCUGCACUACCGAUGGAAUGAAGCAGUGACACAGAAGGAUAACUCGAGCAGGGUGAUGGUCAACCCUGUGCAAGCAUCAAGGUUGGGUUGUAGUGAAGUACGCAAUCCUAUAAGCUGAGGUGUGAUGCGGACCGAAAUUUCAGUAGGGAAGCGAGUGAGUUCACGCUGGCGAGAAAAGCUGCUAGUACAUCCAAAGGUACCCGUACCGGAAACCGACGCAGGUGGGCGAGGAGAGAAUCCUGAGACGAACGGGAGAACCCUUGUUAAGGAACUCGGCAAAAUGACCCCGUAACUUCGGGAUAAGGGGUGCCUGCGAGAGCAGGCCGCAGAGAAUAGUCACAAGCGACUGUUUAGCAAAAACACAGGUAUCUGCGAAAGCGAGAGCUGACGUAUAGGUGCUGACACCUGCCCGGUGCUGGAAGGUUAAGGGAACAUGUUAGAGCAAUCGAAGCAUCGAACCGAAGCCCCAGUAAACGGCGGCCGUAACUAUAACGGUCCUAAGGUAGCGAAAUUCCUUGUCGGGUAAGUUCCGACCCGCACGAAUGGUGUAACGACUUGUGAGCUGUCUCAACAGGGGGCCCGGUGAAAUUGAAGUAUGGGUGAAGAUGCCCAUUACCCGCGACUGGACGGAAAGACCCCGUAGAGCUUUACUGCAGCCUGAUAUUGAGUUUCGGUAACUGAUGCACAGGAUAGGUGGGAGUCUGAGAGACAUGGGUUUCGGCUCAUGAGGAGACGAUGUUGGGAUACCACUCUUCGGUUACUGAAAUUCUAACAUAGCUCUGUGAAACCAGAGGAUGGACAGUGUCAGGUGGACAGUUUGACUGGGGCGGUCGCCUCCGAAAGAGUAACGGAGGCGCCCAAAGGUACCCUCAGAAUGGAUGGAAACCAUUCGAAGAGCGCAAAGGCAGAAGGGUGCCUGACUGCGAGAUUGACAAAUCGAGCAGAGACGAAAGUCGGGCUUAGUGAUCCGGCGGUAUUGAGUGGAAAAGCCGUCGCUUAACGGAUAAAAGCUACCUCGGGGAUAACAGGCUGAUCUCCCCCAAGAGUCCACAUCGACGGGGAGGUUUGGCACCUCGAUGUCGGCUCAUCGCAUCCUGGGGCUGUAUUCGGUCCCAAGGGUUUGGCUGUUCGCCAAUUAAAGCGGCACGCGAGCUGGGUUCAGAACGUCGUGAGACAGUUCGGUCCCUAUCCAUCGUGGGCGUAGGAGUCAUGAGAGGAGCUGUUCCUAGUACGAGAGGACCGGAAUGGACGCACCACUGGUGCAACUGUUGUCGUGCCAACGGCAUAGCAGGGAAGCGAAGUGCGGAUGGGAUAAACGCUGAAGGCAUCUAAGCGUGAAGCCCACCUCAAGAAUAAGACUCCACAAUAGACCCCUGGAGGACUACCAGGUAGAUAGGUCAUCGGUGGAAGCGCUGUAAGGCGUGU